UAAGGAAUAUUGGUCAAUGGACGCAAGUCUGAACCAGCCAUGCCGCGUGGAGGAUGAAGGUCCUCUGGAUUGUAAACUUCUUUUAUCUGGGAAGAAAUCCCCGAUUUCUAUUGGGGUUGACGGUACCAGAUGAAUAAGCACCGGCUAACUCCGUGCCAGCAGCCGCGGUAAUACGGAGGGUGCAAGCGUUAUCCGGAUUUACUGGGUUUAAAGGGUGCGUAGGCGGAUUGGUAAGUCCGUGGUGAAAUCCCCGAGCUUAACUUGGGAACUGCCGUGGAUACUAUCAGUCUUGAAUAUCGUGGAGGUAAGCGGAAUAUGUCAUGUAGCGGUGAAAUGCUUAGAUAUGACAUAGAACACCAAUUGCGAAGGCAGCUUACUACACGUUCAUUGACGCUGAGGCACGAAAGCGUGGGGAUCAAACAG
rnacentral:rRNA from 1 species